UCACAAAACUAACAAUGAAGAAGCUAUUAAUUAAAGCCACCAAAGAGAACAAUUAUAAAACAACAGAUUCCAACAUAGAGGCCAGCAGCAACUGACUAGCAACCACAAACCGCAUGAAAGACAAGCGUUCAUGUUUCAGCUCUAGAUGGGACAGUCAACGCAAGUUAUCUCUUCAUGGUUGUAAUUGUAGUCUUUGUCGGAAUAAUUUUCGACCACCAGCGUGACCUCAAACUCCCGGACAGGAGCGCGUGGAACGAGACCUCGUUGGGUUCGAAGCUAUCUCAUUUGCAUUCUUCCUCUUAUCCUCCCUUGUGGAUCAAGAGAUGAAGCUAGCCAUCAACUUGUUAAAGUAAAUAUCAAUAUAGUGAUCUGUUUCGUCUCGGUCGGUGUGGUUGGUGCAGCCGGUGGAUCUAUCUUAGGCUCUGUUACUCUUCUGUUGUCAAUGAUUGAAGUUAUUCAACUAGGGAUCUAUUCACCACUGCUGGGGUUGAGUAUAUUCCAACCAAUCACCACGUUUUGAUUUAGAAGCAUUGAGAUUCUAUAUGAUAUUGAUGGCUUUCUAUGUUGUUUUGUUUAUCAUUUGUUUUUUUUUUUGGUUCCAACAGCUGUUGUUUUAGAUUAGGUUUGGUUGGCUGAUGUUUGUAGUCUUUGUGGGUUCUUGAUUUUGAAGUUUUUGUUUGUCAGGUAUCUUUAUCCUUGGAAAGACAUGUGUGAAGAUGCAGAUGGCUGCACAAGGUAUCGUUGCUAUCGAGAACCCACAAGACAUCAUUGUGUAGUCUGCUAGACCCUAUGGUCAGAGAGCUGUUUUGAAGUUUGCUCAGCACACUAGAGCUAAUGCCAUUGCUGGGAGGCACACUCCUGGUAUGUUUACCAAUCAGAUGCAGACAUCAUUCAGUGAACCCACACUUCUAAUUCUUACUGAUCCAUGUACCAACCACCAGCCCAUUAAGGAAGGUGCUUUGGGAAACAUUCGAAUCAUUUUUUUCUGUGACACUGACUCUCCCAUGAGGUUUGUUGGCAUUGGUAUCCCUGCUAACAACAAGUGGUAGCAGAGCAUUGGUUGUUUUUUCUGGCUUCUUUCUCGAUAUGGUCCUUCAGAUGUGUGGAACCAUUUGCCCUGCUCAGAAGUGGGAUGUCAUGGGAGCCUGAGGAAUCCAAGCCAGAGGAUGAGGAUGCAGACUUUGGAUUACCUGCUCCUGAGUAUGGUGAUGGAGAUCAAUAGACCACUGCUGCAAUCCUUAUUGAUGCAGGACCAGGAGAAUAAAAUUUAAAUUAAACUAUGUACAACAUAAAAAUAUGUAAAUAUGUUAAUCAUUUUUCCUUUCCUAACCUUAAUCCUCUUUGUCUUCGUUAAAAUACCCACGUAGAAUAAUGUUGGUUGAUAAUUUGAAAUGAUAACGUUU